ensembl:lncRNA
GUGGUCCCGAGGUAGCGCGCGCACCGCCCCGGUCUCGCGUAUCUUGGAAGCGCGUGUACGGAGAGCCAAAGCUUCGGCCCCGGGAGAACAGAAAAACCACCCCUCGUCUCCUCCUCCUUAUUCAAGAGGGGCUACGACCAAGGGGGCAUAAGGCGGGAAAGGAAGCCCGCUAGAGGAGUUGCUCCUCCUUUUGCUAUCCCGGUCUUGAACCUACCCAUCUUCGGGUCACGGUGCGGCCAGUGCCCGUAAUUUCCCCCACCCCUCCGGGCACCAAAGCGGCGGGAGGGCGGAGGUAGUUCCAAGGAUCUGACCCAGGGGCCACCGAGAGAGGAAUGGGGGUAGGAGAAGGGUGUCCGACUAAGGGAGAGGGGCGAUGACACGUGGGGAAAAAAAGGGUCCAAGACCUGGAGGUAGGUGUAAGAAAAGAGUGAGUGGAAGGAUGGUGUCGGGCUUGGGCGGCGGCCUGGGGGUUACAGGGGUGGAAGCGUCGGGCUGGGGCCAUGGACUAGACGGGUUAAUCGCGCAGGACGCUGCUGCGUUCCGACAGUUUCACUUCUGCCGCUUGUUUUUGUUCCAUUGUGAACCGCGCCGUCGCCGCCGAGAGCCCGGAUGAUGACGUCAACCAGCCCCCUCCCCCCUUUUCCCGGCUUGGGGGAAGGAGGAGAUUCACGCGACUCCCCAGCGGAACUCGGGGCGAAGAGGCGUCGCUGAUUGGGUGUUUCUUCUCUCUCUCCCCCACCCCCGUCAUGUUGCUUAUUGCUGAGACGGAGCCUUUCGGGGGAGGGCGCCGAAAUGGGGGGUUAGAAAUGCUGUAUCCUAUCGUACUGUGCCGGUCUGUGCGGAGUAGAUAGGGAGAGGGGCGGCUGACAGAUCGGGCGCUGUUUAGCGUCCGUAUGUCUCGGUUGGAAGCGCACUCUGCCGCCAGCCCUUGGGAGGAGGAGCCCAGCCGGGAGUUUGCUUCAGCUUAGCCGCUUCCACCUCGCGCCUUUCUUGCUUCUGGUCUGGGGCUUGUUCUCUCGGCAGCAGCCCAGCGGAGUUUCUAAACCGUCUCCUCAAAGGAAAAAAUGCAAGCUUGUAAAAUCUAGUAAAGAGGAGGAAGAGAACGAGAGCCGUGCUCACUAUUCAAGGUUGCUUUUGGUCAUGAGUUGUUACUGUGUUGGUCGUGUUUUAAAUGAGUUGAAAUUUGAGUAUUCAUUAAAUUCAGGUUUUUAGGAAAUAGUACUCCAUGCAUAAAAUAGUGUCACUUAACUCUUCGCCUUAGAUUCUUCUGUAAAAUGAAAAUAAUAGUUCCCAGAGUAGUAAGGGCGAAAUUAUAUUUAUAAAACAUUUUGCAAACCUUCAAUGCGGAGGUUGUGACUGUCUAUUAAGCCUGUCAAAAUUGAAAUUUUGUGUAAAAGCGCUGAUGCUUACCAAAUGGCAUCUUAAGUUACAGAGAGUCUUUAUCCUUGAAAUUUUGUGUGGGAGCGGUUGAAAGACUUUAGGACCCUAUGGAAAGAACGGAGACUAAGGACUCAGACCACCUGGUGCAAAUGGGUACUUGGCCUCCGUGGACCAGUUUCUUCCUCUAUGACAUGAGGUAGCUUUCUCAAGACCCAAGAAACAUCAGGUGGUUCCAUCGCUGAUUGUGCCCACCACUGAAAGAGCAUGGCAGUUAUGGCGAUUGACGCUGGAUAUCAAAAAUUGUUGAACUUCAAAACCCUCAGGAAUCAUUGGAAUCCCUGAAACAUGAUAAGACUGUUGCAGGACUUCAAAAACUUGCAGAGAUCAAUGGAUUCCCUGACACAUGAAAUAAUGGACAAUAGAUUGGUUUUGGACUAUCUCUUGGCUGCUGAAGAAGGUAUAUGUGUGACUGUUGUUUACAUAUCCUCCUUUUAGGACUUUUGGAAAUCGCUUACAACACCAUAUUGAUUCACAUUGUUUGUUAUAUCACUACUUGCAUGUACAAUUCGUGUUUGUUAAACCACAUUGAGCCUACACCGGCUGUGAGGAGAGUCAUCACUACUAGCCUGUGCUUUAUUUCUAUGUGCUUGUGUAAUACCUCCCAUGCUGGUGGAUUUGCAUAUACCUACUUCUAGUAAGACCCUUCAGCCUAGAAACCCUCUAACAAUAUCUGGUUUGACUCCUCACUUCCCUUUAGUAUUUUUCAUCUCUCUUCCUGAAAAGUCAGGGAGGGCAUGACCACCUA